CUCACCUGCCGAAGCAACUAGCCCUGAAAAUGGAUGGCGCUAUAGCGUCGUGCCUAUACCGGGCCGUCAACGGCAAAGUGGGGCGGGUCGUUCUCCUCCCGGAGGCGGUCCCGUCCGUUACGCCUUGACGAGUAGGGUGGUCGCGGCGGUGUGCGCAGAAGGGUCUGGGCGUGAGCCUGCCUGGAGCCGCCGUCGGCGCAGAUCUUGGUGGUAGUAGCAAAUACUCUAGCGAGGACCUGGAGGACUGAUGUGGAGAAGGGUUUCUUGUGAACAGCCGUUGCACAAGAGUCAGUCGACCCUAAGCCCUAGGAGAAAUCCGAUGUCGAUGGAGAGUAAAUACGCAGUCUGCUCUGUGCGAGCGUGCUCAUGUACUGAAUAUCUCCCGGCUGGGCGAAAGGGAAUCCGGUUCCUAUUCCGGAACCCGGCUGCGGAACCGCAACUUCGCGGGCGUUCGCCUGCGAGCGCUCGUCGGGGUAACCCAAAGUGGCCCGGAGACUCCGGCGGGAGGUCUGGAAAGAGUUUUCUUUUCUUUAUAAGCGUUCGAGUUCCCUGGAAUCCUAUUGCAGGGAGAUAGGGUUUGGAACGCGAAGAGCACCGCAGUUGCGGCGGUGUCUGGACCUUCCCCCCGGACCUUGAAAAUCCGGGUGAGGGCUACGCGGAAUGUCGCGCCGGAUCGUACCCAUAUCCGCAGCAGGUCUCCAAGGUUAAGAGCCUCUAGUCGAUAGAAUAAUGUAGGUAAGGGAAGUCGGCAAAUUGGAUCCGUAACUUCGGAACAAGGAUUGGCUCUGAGGAUCGGGGCGUGUCGGGCUUGGUCGGGAAGCGGUUUUGCGCCAACGAGCCGGGCCUGGGCGAGGCAUUACGGGCGGUCUUCUGGACCACCGGAAACCAGCUCGGUCCCGAGCCUUGGCCUCCCGCGGAUCUUCCUUGCUGCGGGGUGUCCGUCGCAUCAGGGCUGCUCGUUUCGGCCAGUCGGCUCCGCCGGCUCGGUCGGGCGACGCCUGCGCGGAUUUCUAAACCCUUCGGCCGCCAUUUAACGAUCAACUCAGAACUGGCACGGACAAGGGGAAUCCGACUGUCUAAUUAAAGCAAAGCAUUGCGAUGGCCCCAGCCGGGUGUUAACGCAAUGUGAUUUCUGCCCAGUGCUCUGAAUGUCAAUGUGAAGAAAUUCAAGAAAGCGCGGGUAAACGGCGGGAGUAACUAUGACUCUCUUAAGGUAGCCAAAUGCCUCGUCAUCCAAUUAGUGACGCGCAUGAAUGGAUUAACGAGAUUCUCUCUGUCCCUAUCUACUAUCUAGCGAAACCACUGCCAAGGGAACGGGCUUGGAAAAAUCAGCGGGGAAAGAAGACCCUGUUGAGCUUGACUCUAAUCUGGCAUUGUAAGGAGACAUGAGAGGUGUAGCAUAAGUGGGAGGGGCGGAUCUGCCUCCGGGCUCCCGUUCCGCCAGUGAAAUACCACUACUUUCAUCGUUUCCUUACUUACUCGACCGGGCGGAGAGCGCGUCCUCGUGGGUUAACGCCCCGAAGGAACGGUGUUCUCGCGCCAAGCGUCCGAGGGUUGUCGCGAGGCGUGUCGCCCGUAAGGUGCGCAGGCGCCCGUCGCGUGGCCCUCGCGGUCCCGCCGGCGGUCAACGUCUCGUGCCGUGACCGGGCGCCGUCGUCCGGCAAAUACUCCCCCGAGUGAUCCGAUUCGAGGACACUGCCAGGUGGGGAGUUUGACUGGGGCGGUACAUCUGUCAAACGAUAACGCAGGUGUCCUAAGGCCAGCUCAGCGAGGACAGAAACCUCGCGUAGAGCAAAAGGGCAAAUGCUGGUUUGAUCCCGACGUCCAGUGGGCGUAGGGACUGCGAAAGCAGGGCCUGUCGAUCCUUUUGGCUUGAAGAGAUUUCAGCAAGAGGUGUCAGAAAAGUUACCACAGGGAUAACUGGCUUGUGGCGGCCAAGCGUUCAUAGCGACGUCGC
rnacentral:rRNA from 1 species